UUCAACUCCAUUUUGUUUUUGUUUUUUUUUUUUUGUUUGCACCAUUAUAUAAAUUUUGAAAUCCCUGCUUGCUAGAAAAAAAGAAGGCUUUGGUGACAUGGGUUUAUGUUAUAUUCCAUCUCUUGCACACUGGACUAGCCAGCUUUUUGUUGGCUUCAGCUUCAGGUUGGUGUGCAGGGGGUGGAAUACAUCAUUGAUAUCAUGGGAUAUAAAUUUGAGUUGGAUUUCUUCCAGGUUUCUGAAAAAGAUGAAACAAGGGGAUGGGAUGAUAAUGCUCGCAACAAGCCAUUUACGCUUGAAAACAAGCACUUCCAAGGCUGGAAGGUGAAGGUCCCUCUGGCAAUCUGCUGCAACUCACAGCAGCAGCUGCGAUUGGAUUGGAGGAAGCUGCUUUAAGCAGAGAGAAGGAACAUCAGUGUGGAAGUUCCCUCAGUGGCUAAAGUAUGGAUACAGUAAAAUUCAGAAAGGACAGGCUGUCGUGGUUCCUUUGUCCUCUUCCUUAGGCAUGCAAAUGCCAUAAUAUCUUUUGGAUGGCCAUCCUCUACAGAUUUGCAUAUUGGGGAGUGGGGACGUGACGUUAAUGGUCAGUGUGUGCUUUGUCGCUGAGGGCAGGAGACAAGAAAUCAUUUCAUUUUUGAAUCUGUGUUCUGCAACUAUGCCCGCCAAACACAAGUAACGAUUUGGGAAGAGGAGCUAUGUUUGAGAAGUAGGGAAGUUAAGGAUGGUAGAUGUAGCCUGGAGUGCUUAUCAUUAGAUUGUAAUCAUGAUGUGUUCGUAUUUAUCUCACUCACUCAAUUAUGGUGAAUAACUGCACCAAAAAGAAACAAAAUUAUAAAACAGUAAUAGUAGCAUCACAUUACCGCCACUCGAAUUGUGUCGUAUAAAGAAGGCUGAGCAUAACUUGGUGUCUUAUAGACAGUUUCUCCAUGAUUCUCUAGCGGUUGUGUUUUUUAUUUCUUUAGCCAAAUUUGCUAGUAUUGUCUGAUGCAGAGGAUUCGCUGAAAAUAAAAUAUUGGUUUUUUC